UUUUUUUUUUUUUGUCUUUUUGCCAUUUCUUGGGCUGCUCCCGUGGCAUAUGGAGGUUCCCAGGCUAGGGGGUCUAAUCAGAGCUGUAGCUGCCAGCCUACGCCAGAGCCACAGCAAUGCAGGAUCCAAGCCGUGUCUGCAACCUACACCACAGCUCAUGGCAACGCUGGAUCAUUAACCCACUGAGCAAGGGCAGGGAUCGAACCCUCAACCUCAUGGUUCCUAGUCGGAUUCGUUAACCACUGCGCCAUGACGGGAACUCCAAAAUCUCUGGGUCACUUUUAAAACAUACACACACAUUCACACAAACACGCUCACUCAAGGAGAAACAAAAAGUCACUUUCCUAAAGCCAACCUAAUCUGUGAAAUUUUCCCAACCCAAGAGAAAAAUACCCUCUUGUACAGUUAUGCAGAGCCCAAACUUCUUAUUACAGCCUGAGUCUUCCUGCCCACAACAAUCAGGCUGAAUGGAUUGCUCACAUAGCAUAUUGGUGGCUCCACAAAAAUGGGAUAAAACCAUUCCUGUGCUUUUUCUAUUUGGUUGUGAUGUUAUCCUUUCCCAGACACUGUGAGAAGGAUGGAGCAGAUAAAGAAUAUUGCUAGUUCCUUUCAAUAUCCAUUUUCUCCUUCCUUGCAAGAGAAUUUUAGCUGGACACAUGGCUACUAAGCUAAAGACCACUAGCUUACCAAGCCAUCCCUGAAACUAGAAGCAGCCAUGUGACCAAUGAUUUUGGCCAAUGGAAUGUGAGAAAGCACUUUGUGCCAUUUUCCUUGGUUUGCCUUUAAAGUGAUUGAAUACAUGCUUCUGACCCUUGACUUCCUUUCUGUUAGCUUUCACAUGCCUAGAACUAAAGUAGGCACCUUAAACCCAAAGACGGACUUCCUAUCUUUUGGCCUCUGUAGAUAAAGAAAUAAGUGUAUACUUUGUUUAAGCAAAUAUAUUUUGGAUACUAUUUGUUACAGAAACAUAGGUGGACUUCUGUUGAGUACACUGACCAUCCUCAUAGAUGCCAAGUUCCUUGAAGGAGAUGUAACCAGUAAGAAGCAGAGCUAAGGGAGUUCCCAUUAUGGUGCAAUGGGUUAAGAAACCUACUGUAGUGGCUUGGGUUGUAGGGGAGACACAGGUUCCAUCCCUGCCCAGGCGCAGUGGGUUAAAGGAUCCAGCAUUGCUGCAGCUGCAACUUGGAUUCAGUCACUGGCCCAGGAACGUCCUUAUGCCCCAGGUGCAACCAUUAACAAAAAAAAUAAAAUAAAAACAGAGCUGAACCUUGGACCUAGUGCCCUAACCAUGGAGCUCUCCUCAUCCAUCCUAAAUAUGUCUUUAUCAGAACUUUAUAAAACUUUAUAACAGAGUAGAGAUAUCAUAGUAUGAACUGUAACUUUUUUUCCCCCUGUCCUUUGUAGUUUCCUUGUUUAAGAGAGUUACUAGUUUCACUUCUGUUAAUUUUGCUGUCUGAGUAACCAUCAGCACCUACCAUAAAAGCAGCCUUCACCUAGCAUGGGAGCUUAAGAACAGUACACACUUUCUGGAAGCAAUGCUUUCUUUCUUUUUAGUAUGUUCAGCAUGGAAUUUGUAGUCUUGAAACUUAAAAGCAGAAAUCUUAGAACCAACAAGGAUAAAAGAAGCUUUAGGUAAAGGAAAUAGAGGAUCCAGAUAAUGAGAACUAAUUCCUAUUGACUCAGUGAAUGUUACUCCCUCUCUCAAUCCUUAUCCAACAAUCCUGCUAAGCCCCAAAAUGAAUAAAAGUGAAAUGACCUUAUCAUUGCCAACAACAACAAAAAAACACUGGGUGGCAGGAAUUUAAUUUUAAAUCACCAUUCCUCAUUCUCACUAGGAAAAAUAAAUCACCAUUUGGCAACCUACACUACCUCCAUCCGAAGAAUGGCUGUUAUUAACCCUAUUUUUGAAUUUGCUUUAAUAACUAAUCAUAGCAAACUCAUAUAACAUUUACUAUGUUCCAAGACCACUCCAUGUGGUUUUUACAUAUUAACUUUUCUAAUUCUUACAACUAUAUGAAGUAGGUACAAUUGGUUUUUUUGUUUUUUUGUUUUUUUUCCAUUUUACAGGUAAGGAAACCAAAAGCACAGAUAUGUUUUACAUGCUUAUUAAUAGACUGAUUAUAUUUUAGUAGGUGUGAGAAAUGCCAUCUUCUAGAGAUCUUUUGCCUGGUGGUAUGUUGAAUGAUAGUUGUUGAUGAAUUUUGAGCAUUCAUAUUUCACUCACCAUUUCCCUCCCACCUGAAAUUGUACUCCACUGAAACUAACCUGCUACUUCAGCAGGCAAAAACAAAUUAUCCUACUGUACUGAGCUUGUACCUAAAAGUCAGAUUAUUCAGAUUAUUCUCUGUUGGCGCAAAUGAUCUCCUGUUCAAGAAAAUAGUAUCUUCAUGGUUUAUCUUUCAUUAUGUGUUCAUCUGUUUAUUGUCACUUUAUAGGUUUUUUCCUUAGAACAUCUGAUUUAUUGCUAUAUGAAUGUCAUAAGAACUGGAAUACUGAGAGUUCCAUUGUGGCUCAGUAGUUAACGAAUCCAACUAGCAUAUGUGAGGAUACGGGUUUGAUCCCUGACCUUGCUCAGUGGGUUAAGGAUCCGGUGUUGCCCUGAGCCGUAGUGUAGGUCGCAGACGCAUCUCAGAUCUAGUGUAGAUCUUGGCGUAGGCCAGCGGUUGCAACUCUAAUUCAACCCCUAGCCUGGGAACUCCAUAUGCUAGGGGUGCAUCCCUAAAAAGAAAAAAAAAAUUGCUAAAAACAAGAUCUCUCUUCUGAUGGAUUUUAUUUAUAAUUCCCUAUUUGAAUAAUUCCAAAAUAUUUUUUAUAACUUUUAGUGUCAAGACCAUAUUAUCAUGUUGUAUUGUUACAUUGUUUUAUGGUAUCUAAUUCUGCCAUGCAAAUGUUGAGAUAGUUUUGUUGCUUGCCAGUUCAAAGUUGGACAGUCCAAAUUGCUUUUCCUCUUUAACUGAUACUAAUUUUUCUCAUGUUUUUAAAAAAUUUUUGUUUGAGUAUAACUGAUUUACAAUGCUGUAUUAGUUUUAAGUGUACAGCAAAAUGAAUCAGUUAUACAUAUACAUAUAUCCAUUUUUCCCCGUAGGUUAUUAUCCUCUAUGUUAUAUGUGGUAAAAAUUCAUAAUUUUCUCCAUCUUACCUUUUUCUAUUUGGAACAGCGAAGUGAUUAACUAAUAAAAACAAAAACUAACCAAAUUUCUUAACAGUAGAAGUGGCCAUGUGUUCUAACUAGUGGGAUAUAAGUGAAUAGUAUAGGGUGGAACUAUUAAGAACCCUCUUUACAAGCAGUACAAACUGGAAUGCACAGCGGAAACAAAGCCGACUAGAAACUAUGAGAUUGUGGGUUCGAUCCCUGGCCUCGCUCAGUAGCUUAAGGAUCUAGCAUUGCUGUUAGCUGUAGUGUCAGUCACAGAUGUGACUCGGAUCCUGCAUUGCUGUGGCUGUGGUAUAGGCCAGCAGCUGUAGCUCUGAUUUGACCCCAAGCCUGGGAAC
rnacentral:lncRNA from 1 species